CUCUGUCUCCAUUCUCUGUCUCUUUGCCUUUUCCUCUGCUGCUACUGCCUUGAGUUAUGCUGCCUCCGCCUUAACUUCUGCUGCCUCCGCCUUGAGUUUCACAAUCUCCAUCUGAUACUCCUCAAUCUGUACACCGUAGUCCGACUACUCUGGAAUGUUACGAAAACACCGACUCGGACAUGUACCAAUACCGAGUCCACGAACUCUUCUUGGGCGCUCUUUUCCAAGCACU
rnacentral:lncRNA from 1 species